rnacentral:rRNA from 1 species
AGCACGUCAACGUGUGAUAUGGUACCUUUUGUAGAAUGGUCCGGCGAGUGAAUGUCACUAGCGAGGUUAAGAACUUAAGGUUUGCAGCCGAAGCGAAAGCGAGUCUUAAUAGGGCGAGUUUAGUUAGUGGUAUUCGACCCGAAACCGAGUGACCUAGCCAUGAGCAGGCUGAAGUGGAGGUAAAACUCCAUGGAGGGCCGAACCCACUCCCGUUGAAAUGGUAGGGGAUGACUUGUGGCUAGCGGAGAAAUUCCAAUCGAACUCGGAGAUAGCUGGUUCUCUCCGAAAUAGCUUUAGGGCUAGCCUCAAUUAACAUUACCGCAGGUAAAGCACUGAAUGGGCUAGGGGGCGAAAGCUUACUGAACCCUAUCAAACUCAGAAUGGCGGAUAAUGAAUAAUUGGGAGUCACACUACGUGAGAUAAGUUUCGUGGUGGAAAGGGAAACAGCCCAGACCCACAGCUAAGGUCCCAAAGUACAGUUAAGUGGAAAAGGAUGUGAAGUUGCGCAGACAACCAGGAUGUUGGCUCAGAAGCAGCCACUCAUUCAAAGAGUGCGUAAUAGCUCACUGGUCGAGUGAUUUUGCGCCGAAAAUUUAACGGGGCUAAACUGUACACCGAAGCUUGGGAAUAUACCAUAUGGUAUGUUGGUAGGAGAGCGUCGUAUGCGGGGUGAAGUCGUAGCGAAAGCGGCGGUGGACUGCAUAGGAGUGAGAAUGCCGGAAUGAGUAGCGAGAAUUAUGUGAGAAUCAUAAUGGCCGAAAGACUAAGGUUUUAGAAGGAAGGUUCGUCCGCUUCUAGUUAGCCGGGAGCUAAGGCGAGGCCGAAAGGCGUAGUCGAUGCACAUACGGUUGAGAUUCCGUAGCCACCUUAAAUUUAAACUAAGGGACACAUUGAAAGGGAAUAACCCAGGCGUUGGUUGACCUGGGCGUAAGGGAACGAAAAUAAGUAGUGAAGUAUUCUUGGACAGUGGCGAGAAAAGCUUAGUGUAUAUUAUUAGGGUGCCCGUACUGCAAACCGACACAGGUAGUCAGGAAGAGAAUUCUAAGGCCAUCGGGAGAAGCGUUGUUAAGGAACUCGGCAAAUUGACCCCGUAACUUCGGAAUAAGGGGUGCUCACGAGAGUGAGCCGCAGUGAAUAGGUCCAGGCGACUGUUUAUCAAAAACACAGCUCUCUGCUAAAUCGAAAGAUGACGUAUAGGGGGUGACACCUGCCCGGUGCUGGAAGGUUAAGAGGAGGAGUGCAAGCCCCGAAUCGAAGCCCCAGUAAACGGCGGCCGUAACUAUAACGGUCCUAAGGUAGCGAAAUUCCUUGUCGGGUAAGUUCCGACCCGCACGAAUGGUGUAACGAUCUGGGCACUGUCUCAACUACCCACCCGGCGAAAUUGUAGUACCGGUGAAGAUGCCGGUUACCCGCGGCAAGACGGAAAGACCCCAUGGAGCUUUACUGUAACUUAAUAUUGGGUCUCGGUACUUUAUGUACAGGAUAGGCGGGAGACUUGGAAACUAGCACGCCAGUGUUAGCGGAGUCAUCCUUGGGAUACCGCUCUUAAGGUAUUGAGAUUCUAACCUGCAGCCUUGAAUCAGGUUGGGGGACAUUGUUAGGUGGGCAGUUUGACUGGGGCGGUCGCCUCCAAAAGAGUAACGGAGGCGCUCAAAGGUUCGCUCAGCAUGGACGGAAACCAUGCCAGAGAGUGUAAACGCAUAAGCGAGCCUAACUGCGAGACUGACGGGUCGAGCAGUAACGAAAGUUGGAGUUAGUGAUCCGGCGGUAUGUGAGUGGAAAUGCCGUCGCUCAACGGAUAAAAGCUACCCUGGGGAUAACAGGCUGAUCUCCCCCAAGAGUCCACAUCGACGGGGAGGUUUGGCACCUCGAUGUCGGCUCAUCACAUCCUGGGGCUGUAUUCGGUCCCAAGGGUUCGGCUGUUCGCCGAUUAAAGUGGUACGCGAGCUGGGUUCAGAACGUCGUGAGACAGUUCGGUCCCUAUCUGUCGUGGGCGUAGGAUAUUUGAGGAGCGCUGUUCCUAGUACGAGAGGACCGGAAUGGACGCACCGCUGGUGUAUCGGUUGUCAUGCCAAUGGCACGGCCGAGCAGCUAUGUGCGGAUCGGAUAAACGCUGAAAGCAUCUAAGCGUGAAGCCGUCUCCAAGAUAAGAUAUCCCACUGUUUACAGUUAAGACCCCUUGUAGACUACGAGGUUGAUAGGUUGGAUGUGUAAGUACAGUGAUGUAUUUAGCUAGCCAAUACUAAUAGGUCGAGGGCUUGACCU